UAGGGAAUAUUAGUAAUGGGCGAAAGCCUGAACUAGCAACGCCGCGUGUGCGAAGAAGGCCUUCGGGUUGUAAAGCACUUUUUGAGAGGAUGAGGAAGGACGGUACUCUCAGAAUAAGUCUCGGCUAACUACGUGCCAGCAGCCGCGGUAACACGUAGGAGGCAAACGUUAUCCGGAUUUACUGGGCGUAAAGCGCGUGUAGGUGGUUUGGUAAGUAGGGCGUGAAAGCUCCUGGCUCAACUGGGAGAGGCCGUUCUAAACUGCCGAACUAGAGGAUGGUAGAGGGAGGUGGAAUUCCGGGUGUAGCGGAGGAAUGCGCAGAUAUCCGGAGGAACACCAGUGGCGAAAGCGGCCUCCUGGACCAUUCCUGACACUCAGACGCGAAAGCUAGGGUAGCAAACG
rnacentral:rRNA from 1 species